UAUGUAUAUGUGACAGAUGUGUAUGUGGGGGCAGUUGUGUACAUAGAGACCAGAGGAGGACACUUGCUAAAGCAAGGUUGGCAGUCAAUGAGCCCCAGUGGAUUUUCUGCCUCAGCCCCCUACAGAACUGGGAUUACAGAUGUGCCUGUGGCUGUGUCUGAAAUUUCACAUAGAGGAGUAGUCUCCUGUUCAAGGCUGGCCUUGAGCUCAUUAUGUCACCAAGGAUGACUUGAACUUCGGAUCCUCCUGCUGCCACCUCUCCUGUACUAGGAUUACAGCAUGCAAAUUUUCUCGUGGGAGCAAUUUCUUUGAAGUCACCCUUCACCAUCUUAAAGUAAAUACCAACAAGACUCCAAGAUUAUAGAUCCAGAAAUUACAGAAACACAGCUCAGAUCAACAAAGCUGUUACGGAAAGCAUUCUUCACCGAAGGGCAAGAGCUUUCCUUACAAGCUGGGGGCCGAAGCAUCAUUUAUAGCCUAACUCACUUGCGAGUUGCUGGGAAAUCCUGCAAGUAUAACCUCAAUUCUCCUUUGCCUUGACCUCUGCCAGUGCUUCAGACUGUAUUUGCUCAUAAA